rnacentral:rRNA from 1 species
UACGUAGGGGGCUAGCGUUGUCCGGAAUCAUUGGGCGUAAAGCGCGUGUAGGCGGUCCGGUAAGUCCGCUGUGAAAGUCGAGGGCUCAACCCUCGAAUGCCGGUGGAUCACUGUCGGGCCUUGAGUACGGGAGAGGCGAGUGGAAUUCCUGGUGUAGCGGUGAAAUGCGCAGAUAUCAGGAGGAACACCGAUGCGAAGGCAGCUCGCUGGAACGUUACUGACGCUGAGGCGCGAAAGCGUGGGGAGCGAACAGG